rnacentral:rRNA from 1 species
GACGAACGCUGGCGGCGUGCUUAACACAUGCAAGUCGAACGGAAAGGCCCUUCUUUUGUGGGGUGCUCGAGUGGCGAACGUGUGAGUAACACGUGAGUAACCUGCCCUUGACUUUGGGAUAACUUCAGGAAACUGGGGCUAAUACCGGAUAGGAGCUCCUGCUGCAUGGUGGGGGUUGGAAAGUUUCGGCGGUUGGGGAUGGACUCGCGGCUUAUCAGCUUGUUGGUGGGGUAGUGGCUUACCAAGGCUUUGACGGGUAGCCGGCCUGAGAGGGUGACCGGCCACAUUGGGACUGAGAUACGGCCCAGACUCCUACGGGAGGCAGCAGUGGGGAAUAUUGCACAAUGGGCGGAAGCCUGAUGCAGCAACGCCGCGUGCGGGAUGACGGCCUUCGGGUUGUAAACCGCUUUCGCCUGUGACGAAGCGUGAGUGACGGUAAUGGGUAAAGAAGCACCGGCUAACUACGUG